CCUACGGGUGGCAGCAGUGAGGAAUAUUGGGCAAUGGGGGCAACCCUGACCCAGCCAUGCCGCGUGAGUGAAGAAGGUCUUCGGAUUGUAAAGCUCUUUCGGACGUGACGAUGAUGACGGUAGCGUCUAAAGAAGCAUCGGCUAACUCCGUGCCAGCAGCCGCGGUAAUACGGGGGAUGCAAGCGUUAUCCGGAUUUAAUGGGUUUAAAGGGUGCGUAGGCUGUGAGGUAAGUCAGCGGUGAAAUGCCCCCGCUCAACGGGGUGAAGUGCCAUUGAUACUGCCUUGCUGGAAUGCGGAUGCCGUGGGAGGAAUGUGUGGGGUAGCGGUGAAAUGCAUAGAUAUCACACAGAACACCGAUUGCGAAGGCAUCUCACGAAUCCGCGAUUGACGCUGAUGCACGAAAGCGUGGGUAUCAAACAGGAUUAGAUACCCGAGUAGUC
rnacentral:rRNA from 1 species